CUGGGUGGAUUAGUGGCGAACGGGUGAGUAACACGUGAGUAACCUGCCCUUAACUCUGGGAUAAGCCUGGGAAACUGGGUCUAAUACCGGAUAGGAGCGCCUACCGCAUGGUGGGUGUUGGAAAGAUUUAUCGGUUUUGGAUGGACUCGCGGCCUAUCAGCUUGUUGGUGAGGUAAUGGCUCACCAAGGCGACGACGGGUAGCCGGCCUGAGAGGGUGACCGGCCACACUGGGACUGAGACACGGCCCAGACUCCUACGGGAGGCAGCAGUGGGGAAUAUUGCACAAUGGGCGAAAGCCUGAUGCAGCGACGCCGCGUGAGGGAUGACGGCCUUCGGGUUGUAAACCUCUUUCAGUAGGGAAGAAGCGAAAGUGACGGUACCUGCAGAAGAAGCACCGGCUAACUACGUGCCAGCAGCCGCGGUAAUACGUAGGGUGCGAGCGUUAUCCGGAAUUAUUGGGCGUAAAGAGCUCGUAGGCGGUUUGUCGCGUCUGUCGUGAAAGUCCGGGGCUUAACCCCGGAUCUGCGGUGGGUACGGGCAGACUAGAGUGCAGUAGGGGAGACUGGAAUUCCUGGUGUAGCGGUGGAAUGCGCAGAUAUCAGGAGGAACACCGAUGGCGAAGGCAGGUCUCUGGGCUGUAACUGACGCUGAGGAGCGAAAGCAUGGGGAGCGAACAGGAUUAGAUACCCUGGUAGUCCAUGCCGUAAACGUUGGGCACUAGGUGUGGGGACCAUUCCACGGUUUCCGCGCCGCAGCUAACGCAUUAAGUGCCCCGCCUGGGGAGUACGGCCGCAAGGCUAAAACUCAAAGGAAUUGACGGGGGCCCGCACAAGCGGCGGAGCAUGCGGAUUAAUUCGAUGCAACGCGAAGAACCUUACCAAGGCUUGACAUGUUCUCGAUCGCCGUAGAGAUACGGUUUCCCCUUUGGGGCGGGUUCACAGGUGGUGCAUGGGUUGUCGUCAGCUCGUGUCGUGAGAUGUUGGGUUAAGUCCCGCAACGAGCGCAACCCUCGUUCCAUGUUGCCAGCACGUAAUGGUGGGGACUCAUGGGAGACUGCCGGGGUCAACUCGGAGGAAGGUGAGGACGACGUCAAAUCAUCAUGCCCCUUAUGUCUUGGGCUUCACGCAUGCUACAAUGGCCGGUACAAUGGGUUGCGAUACUGUGAGGUGGAGCUAAUCCCAAAAAGCCGGUCUCAGUUCGGAUUGGGGUCUGCAACUCGACCCCAUGAAGUCGGAGUCGCUAGUAAUCGCAGAUCAGCAACGCUGCGGUGAAUACGUUCCCGGGCCUUGUACACACCGCCCGUCAAGUCACGAAAGUUGGUAACACCCGAAGCCGGU
rnacentral:rRNA from 1 species